UGGGGAAUAUUGGGCAAUGGGCGAAAGCCUGACCCAGCAACGCCGCGUGAAGGAAGAAGGUUUUCGGAUCGUAAACUUCUAUCCUUGGUGAAGAUAAUGACGGUAGCCAAGAAGGAAGCCCCGGCUAACUACGUGCCAGCAGCCGCGGUAAUACGUAGGGGGCAAGCGUUGUCCGGAAUGAUUGGGCGUAAAGGGCGCGUAGGCGGCCUGGUAAGUCUGGAGUGAAAGUCUGCUUUUAAGGUGGGAAUUGCUUUGGAUACUGCUGGGCUUGAGUGCAGGAGAGGUAAGUGGAAUUCCCGGUGUAGCGGUGAAAUGCGUAGAGAUCGGGAGGAACACCAGUGGCGAAGGCGACUUACUGGACUGUAACUGACGCUGAGGCGCGAAAGUGUGGGGAGCAAACAG
rnacentral:rRNA from 1 species